rnacentral:rRNA from 1 species
UACCAGCACCCCGAGUGGUCGGGACGAUUAUUGGGCCUAAAGCAUCCGUAGCCGGUUCUACAAGUCUUCCGUUAAAUCCACCUGCUUAACAGAUGGGCUGCGGAGGAUACUAUGGAGCUAGGAGGCGGGAGAGGCAAGCGGUACUUAGUGGGUAGGGGUAAAAUCCGUUGAUCCAUUGAAGACCACCAGUGGCGAAGGGGGCUUGCCAGAACGCACUCGACGGUGAGGGAUGAAAGCUGGGGGAGCAAACCGG